AUGCUCGCUGCAGCAGCCCAUAUACUAAAAUUGGAACAAUACAGAGAUUAGCCUGGCCUCUGGGCAAGGAUGAUAGAAUUUACUUUCCAGUUUUCAGGUUUCCUU